rnacentral:lncRNA from 1 species
GUCAAUGGGAGAGGGAGGGGGGGGGGGGGGGGGGGGGGGGGGGGGGGGGGGGGGGGGGGGGGGGCACGCAGAGAAGAAGGAGGAGGAGAAAGUGGCAGAGGAGGAAAAUAAGACUGAUGAGAGUUGUGGCAUAUGUAGGCAUAAUCAAAGAUGAUACAAAGCUUUUAAGUCUGAGCAACUGGGAGAACGCAGAUGCUAACAAUACCAGAGAAAAUGGAGGGCAAGUUGAAGAGAAAGUCAAAUUCGUUUUGAAUAGUUUGUACAUUUCCAUGCAGAGUUGCUCAGAAGCGCGACCUGGUUUAGAGGCAGGUUUGAGAGUCAGCCUCAGAGUUCAUGGUUAAGGCUAUAGGUAAGGAUGAUCAAGAAGCACCAAGAGAGAGGAAGAAAGAACACAGAGCAUUCUGUGUGACGGGAGCCCAAGAAGAGAAGUUGCAGAGGAGGAGUGAUAACAUGUUGUAAAUGAUGCAGAGAGGCCAAAUAGUAAACAGAUGGAGAAGGGGCCAUUGAAUUUGAUCACACUGGUGAGUUCCUCAUGGAAUGAGAGAGAGGACAUCAUCCAAGUCAUCACGAGUCUGGGAGGAACUGGGUCUGAGCCUCUGCUAAGGGCAAAGAUCGGAGUGGAACAAAACAAAGAGUUCCUCGGGCCCAGAUCAGUGGGAAGAAGGGCAUUCAUAGGCUGGGUCCAACCAGCAAUGCUUCCACCCAACUGGCAGGGCUUGAGCUCUUUAAUCCUGAUCGGGGGAGGCACAGGGGACAGGCUUUUGUGAAUCAUCUAAAUGAAUGCACAGCACACAGAGAAGGCACAAAAUGAAACAAGAUGCACAACUCGUGGUCUGUUUAAGGCAGUGACACGGUGGGAGUCCAAUCACUUUUUUUUUAAGUAAAAAUUCCAACCCAGAAUAAGAAAGACGACAUCUUAUUCUAUAUUAUGGGGAGGUUGCAAAAUUUCCUUCCUCUUACUUUAACAAAAUAAUAAAGGUCUUUGGAUGGACACGAAUGCCAUCCUCCCUCCUAAAACAUAAAAUCUGAGUCACAGAAAAAUUAUUCUCCCAGAGAAGGUUGGCAUUUGGUUAUAAUCUCUAUACCCGGGCUCUCUCCCUCUCUGAAGACAGUCCCCUCGGCUACAUCCCCCCACCCCCGGUUUCAGAGGGCGGGAGCAGUCCUUCAGCCGAAUCUCUCUGUUCUGCUUUGCCUCCUCCAGGACUCAAUUGAGAGCACACACCAAGCAGAACAAAACAGUGGCAAUUGAUGACAAAUGGACUGAGCUGCCCCCACGUCCCCCUCCCCACUCCCUGUUACCAUGGAGACACAAGCCAGCCGAAGCCAAGAGAUCAGGAAAUAUCCAUAAAGGACAGUCUGGUGGACACAGGUGUUCAGGGAAUCAAUCGGAGCCAACAAGAUCCUUCAAUCUGUCAAGGGUUGGAGGGGGAACGUGGUGAGACGGGGAAUUGAGGAUUAAGUAAAACAGGUGGGUUUUGUCCUUGGGACUAGAAGUUUCUUUUCUCUCCGUGGGGAGUUAUGUCAUUUUGACACAUGUUGACACCACACACCAAAGCUCUAUUUUCUUUUCAAUUUUCUUUUCAUCUUCUCUCUUCUACUUCACCUACAAAUGUGGAUCACCUCUAAGACGGGCAGCCGGAUAUCUGCUCAAGAAGCCAUGAAAUGAGGCAGAAUCUUUGGAAGACUUGGUCACUGGAACUUCCUUCAACCACUUUGGAAAGUAGACAAGAGAGUUCAAAUAUCAUCAAAGGAUUCUCCCCACUUUCUCCAGUUGGGAUGAACAGAGAACACAUCCUCUAAACAGAAAGGCAUCUCUUUAAAGGGGUGGAGACACCAAAAGGGAGGGAGAAAAGGAGAAGAGACUUAACUUACAUUGUGGUUUAUUCUUCACUAUUAGUUUUCUGUGUAACAGGAAGCCAAUAGUCAAAUAUUAACUGGAGUUGUACCACAGCUCACUGGGUCUAGUGGACAUGAUUUCCUCCAAACAACUGUCAUCAAACAUAGACAUGGGAGGGGGGAGGAAAGAAACUUCUCAGUUACUCCUACCUUUUUUAAUGCAAAUAAGAGGUUCCUGCUUAGGUGCUUUGAAACUUCUUCAUUUGAAUUGUUCAAAUUCUAGGUACCUACUAUAAUUCUUCUAACGAGCUCCCUCCACACUCACCUCUGAAGGACAGAAUCAGCCCGUUGCUCUAAGCUUUCAAUCAUUGCUUUGUCAUCACAGUAGUCGUAAAGGUCAAGACCAGGAAUUUUAUAGUCGAUUGCCAAAAUCUAGUAGGGUUCAUUGCUUGUAGAAGGCACUCAAAACAUGCUGAUUGAUUGAAUACUGAAAAUGUUUAAAGUCUUACUGUAGUAGAAAUUACAGCUGAAUCCCCAAUAAUUCUUCUUUCCUCCACUGUGCAGUAGCCAUGGGAUUUAAAUGGAGAUUGACCCCACCAGCUGCAAGGUUGGACCAAUCAGAGAUUAGAUUCCAGUCCUCCUGCCACAAUGAUUGGUUCAGGUAAAUGAAGUCUAUGCCAAUCAACAAAUGGCCUUUUCCCAUCUGAGUCUUGAGGGAAAGUUUGCUAGGAUUUCUGAGAGAGUAAGUUCUCAACUUUGUCCGAAAGAGCCACCAAAGCCAACCUCACUCCUGGACAGUGUGGCUUGACGAUAACUACCCUAGAGCCUCGGACACUUUGCCAUCCUAAAGGAAACUGGCCUGAAUGCAAAUAGGGAAAAAAGUUAAAAUAAAACCAGGACCUUGAUGACUUAAUGGAUCUGUUGGUUCAAACCAACCUUGAAUUCUGUUCUUCCUUGUUCUUUCAAUAGAGUAAGCCAAUAAAUCCCCUCUGUUGUUGAAGCCAGUUUGAGUUGGGCUGUCUAUUUAUUGACUUAUUUGUUUAGUUUUCAAAAUAGUUUUAAUAAGUUAUUUAAAAUUUUUCUUAAAGAAUAAAUAGUCCUAAGCAAUAUACUUACCAAAACUGUCACCUGUUUGACAAUUUUGCUCUUAGUGACCAACAAAAGUAAGUUUUGGACAUCUGGAGACUGAGAUAGCAAAUGACAUCUUCUCUUUGGAGAGGUGCAAGCUGGGAAAUCCACCAAGCCGUCUCACCAGGCUGAUACUGUCCAAAGUAUGAAAGCUCAAUCAACUCGAGAAUUCUUAUUAAAGGGCAGGGACAGGUCAGAGAAGAUGGUGAACACGUCGCAGUGCACUGGAGGUACUCUGAAAGCAGAUCCGUCUUUAUUUGUAGGCAAAGCUAAUAUUAAAGGUAAUUUGCAUUCUCUGAGCAUAAAAUGUGGACACUGUGAAGAACAGAUGUUGAGAGGGCUCGAGCAUUCCAGAAACUGAUAAGAAAUUUAAAUUUGCAAUGAAUAAUAUAAAAUGUAGAUAAUCCCAAUGUCAGUUCUGAGAAGGACUUUUAGGCAUUCUAUUGGAAUUAAACUGUUUGUCAUUUAGCUGAAAAGAACGUGUUAACCAAUCAUUGGUCUGCAAGAAGACCCCUCAGCACCUCUGACCAGUUACACAAGGGAAGGGACUGAGGAGUUAAUGCCAAAUAUUCUAUGUGGAGAUUUAGUGAUUUACUGGCUGUAUUCUGCUAAUCCAGGGAUGAAGCUGAUCUUUGUUCUUUGACUCUUUAGAAGUGCAGAGUUAAAAAAUAGGAGAUGCUCAAGAAGUAACGGAUAGUGGGAUGGAUGGAUGGCUGAAUGGAUGGACAGAUGACAGGUGGAGCUUCUACUGGAAAGAACACUAAUCCACACCAUCCCCUCUAGCCUGAAACAUCCUUUCCAAAGGCAAGAACUGGUCUCUAAUUCUGUGACUGCUAGUCCAAAACAUAUUCUCCAAUAGCAUUUAUCACUUCCCAGGGCCCUGUAAUCUUUAUGAUUUCAGAAACCUGAGCAAAGCCAUGAAGGAAGACUAUCUCUUGUAUCUUAGCCUUACAUGUCCCAGCAUCUAACGAACACAAUACCUCUUCCUCCUUUUUUCUCCUCAAAUGAGGACUUGUAUGUGCCUUAGAUUCACUGAAUUCCAAGCAAACUGUCAUCUUGCUGAUUCCUCUAACUCUGUUAAUAGAACCAUCAUUUUUCUUUGCCAGCACUCCAAAUCAGGAAAUUGUGAUUGUUCCUCACUUUUCGUUUGGCUCCCACAUCCACCUAGCAAGCCCUUAAGAGUCCAUCUCCUCAUUGUUUUUCAUCCUGCUUCCUCUUUUCCAUUGCUACUGCCACCGCCGACUUCAUGUCGCUAACUUCUCACUUGACCAGUGUCAAUUGCUUGUAAGUUGGUCUCCUGAUUUCCAUU